AUUGAACGCUGGCGGCAGGCCUAACACAUGCAAGUCGAGCGGAUGAAGGGAGCUUGCUCCUGGAUUCAGCGGCGGACGGGUGAGUAAUGCCUAGGAAUCUGCCUGGUAGCGGGGGAUAACGUCCGGAAACGGGCGCUAACACCGCAUACGUCCUGAGGGAGAAAGUGGGGGAUCUUCGGACCUCACGCUAUCAGAUGAGCCUAGGUCGGAUUAGCUAGUUGGUGGGGUAAAGGCCUACCAAGGCGACGAUCCGUAACUGGUCUGAGAGGAUGAUCAGUCACACUGGAACUGAGACACGGUCCAGACUCCUACGGGAGGCAGCAGUGGGGAAUAUUGGACAAUGGGCGAAAGCCUGAUCCAGCCAUGCCGCGUGUGUGAAGAAGGUCUUCGGAUUGUAAAGCACUUUAAGUUGGGAGGAAGGGCAGUAAGUUAAUACCUUGCUGUUUUGACGUUACCAACAGAAUAAGCACCGGCUAACUUCGUG
rnacentral:rRNA from 1 species